GGAAACACCCACUACUUUGUGGCUUAAACAAAUACUCAUUUUGCUUACAAAUCUGCAAUUUGGUCAGGACUCAACAGAGACAGCUUGUCUGUGUUCCCCUUUGCCUCAGCUGAAAGGAGCUGCAGUCACCCAUGUGUGAAGAAGGCUCUUUCAUUCACUUGUCUGGAGCCUGGGCCGAUUCAAACAUCUGGAGACUGGAACAUCUGGGGCUCCUUGGACGACUACCUCUUUGUGGUUUCUCCAUGUAGUCUCUCUAGCGGAUGGCUGUAUUCUAUUUGGGAUUGAACUCAGGACCUUGUACUUUCGAGGUAGGCGCCGGAACCACUGAGCUAAAUCCCCAGCCCUUGCUGAACACUUCUGAUGGUGAACCGAACUGUUUGCAAACAGAAGCAUUCAUGAACCGAGAUAUCACUGUACAGUACUAAUAAUACAGAAUAAUGAGA
rnacentral:lncRNA from 1 species